rnacentral:rRNA from 1 species
UACGAAGGGGGCUAGCGUUGUUCGGAAUUACUGGGCGUAAAGCGUGCGCAGGCGGCUUCUCAAGUCAGGGGUGAAAGCCCAGAGCUCAACUCUGGAAUUGCCUUUGAGACUGAGUGGCUUGAGUACGAGAGAGGUGAGUGGAAUUCCCAGUGUAGAGGUGAAAUUCGUAGAUAUCGGGAGGAACACCAGUGGCGAAGGCGGCGAUCUGGGAAGAUACUGACGCUGAGGUGCGAAAGCGUGGGGAGCAAACAGG